rnacentral:sRNA from 1 species
GCUAAGCCUUCAAAAUCCAGUGUGUAUCUCACGUUUAUAGCACAUCUCAAUUCAGACUCACCAGCCACAUUAAAGUGCUCAGUAGCCACAUGUGACCAGCAGCUACCAACCUGGCAACACAGGUCUAAAGAAUCUCUUUAGGUUGUUUAUAUUUUAGUAUUUCUCUCAGGUGAUUUGUGUCUUUUGCCGUCUCUGUCUUCCUGCCUUAGCCUGCAAUUGCAAUCCGUAUGGGACCAUGAAGCAGCAGAGCAGCUGUAACCCCGUGACGGGGCAGUGUGAAUGUUUGCCUCACGUGACUGGCCGGGACUGUGGUGCUUGUGACCCUGGAUUCUACAAUCUGCAGAGUGGGCAAGGCUGUGAGAGGUGUGACUGCCAUGCCUUGGGCUCCACCAAUGGGCAGUGUGACAUCCGCACCGGCCAGUGUGAGUGCCAGCCUGGCAUCACUGGUCAGCACUGUGAGCGCUGUGAGGUCAACCACUUUGGGUUUGGACCUGAAGGCUGCAAACCCUGUGACUGUCAUCCUGAGGGAUCUCUUUCACUUCAGUGCAAAGAUGAUGGUCUCUGUGAAUGCAGAGAAGGCUUUGUGGGAAAUCGCUGUGACCAGUGUGAAGAAAACUAUUUCUACAAUCGGUCUUGGCCUGGCUGCCAGGAAUGUCCAGCUUGUUACCGGCUGGUAAAGGAAAAGGUUGCUGAUCAUAGAGUGAAGCUCCAGGAAUUAGAGAGUCUCAUAGCAAACCUUGGAACUGGGGAUGAGAUGGUGACAGAUCAAGCCUUCGAGGAUAGACUAAAGGAAGCAGAGAGGGAAGUUAUGGACCUCCUU